rnacentral:rRNA from 1 species
UCGUUUUGCUACAUGGAUAACUGUGGUAAUUCUAGAGCUAAUACAUGCACAAGGUCCCGACUUUGGGAAGGGACGUAUUUAUUAGAUCCAAAACCAGCGCGGGUUGCCUCUCGGGGUGCCCGGUACCUGGGCGAUUCAUGAUAACUGCUCGAAUCGCACGGCCCUGGCGCCGGCGAUGGUCCAUUCAAAUUUCUGCCCUAUCAACUUUCGAUGGUACGGUAGUGGCCUACCAUGGUUGCAACGGGUGACGGAGAAUUAGGGUUCGAUUCCGGAGAGGGAGCCUGAGAAACGGCUACCACAUCCAAGGAAGGCAGCAGGCGCGCAAAUUACCCAAUCCCGACUCGGGGAGGUAGUGACAAUAAAUAACAAUGCCGGGCUCUUGUAGUCUGGCAAUUGGAAUGAGUCCAAUUUAAAUCCCUUAACGAGGAACAAUUGGAGGGCAAGUCUGGUGCCAGCAGCCGCGGUAAUUCCAGCUCCAAUAGCGUAUAUUAAAGUUGUUGCAGUUAAAAAGCUCGUAGUUGGAUUUCGGGGCAGCCCGGUCGGUCCGCCGUUGAGGCGAGUACUGGUCGGGCGCCCUUCCUCUCGAAGGCUUCGACUGCUCUUGAUUGCGGUGGUCGAGGAGUUCGGGACGUUUACUUUGAAAAAAUUAGAGUGUUCAAGGCAGGCGUUGGCCUGAAUACGUUAGCAUGGAAUAAUGGAAGAGGACCUCGGUCCUAUUUUGUUGGUUUCCAGGGCCGAAGUAAUGAUCAAGAGGGACAGUUGGGGGCAUUCGUAUUUAAUUGUCAGAGGUGAAAUUCUCGGAUUUAUGAAAGACGAACAA